rnacentral:lncRNA from 1 species
UCGCUAGUUGCACGCCUCUUCGACGGUGAAGUAUUUGUGAGUGGACCCUUUCUAAAAUGCAUAUUUUUCUAUUAGAAAUACAUACAUGAAAAGCACGAUUUAAUGGUUACGUUUUAUGAAAUGUUUAUGAGUAAAUUAAAUUUACGCUUUAUGAUAUUCAUGCUUUAUCGAUUUUAUGUUCUUCGUAGUAUAUAUGAUUGAUAACUCUAUACUAUGAUAGGUUUUACAAUAUGACAUUGUAGGUACCAAAUACCAAUUAGGAUAUAUAUAUAUAUUAGAAGGGAAUUGUUAUUAGCAUUCCAAAAAUCUCAUUAUACACCCCAAACUUUCUAUAUUAGGAAAGAAAAAUACACUUGUGAGGAGUGUAGAAUGAGAUUUUUGGAGUGCCAAUAAUACUUCCCUGUUAGAAAUAGUAUGUUAAUGUCUUUAUGUACUUAUUUAGUGGUUACUCAACGAUCCUGCCUACAAGCGAAUGUUACUGCCUACGGGCGAAUGGUCCUGCCUACAGGCGAUUGAUACUUAUAUGCCUUCGGGUGGGUGAUGUAGAAGCCUACGGGCGAUUUAUAUUUAUAUUGGCUUCGGUCGGGCGUACGAUGGUGGCUUCGGCCGGAAGAUAUUUAUAUUGGCUACGACCGGGCGUUUGGUUAGUGCCUACGGGCAUAUGUUCUGCCUACGGGCGAAUGACCUGCCUACGGACGCGUGAUGUAAAACCUUCGGAUGAAUGAAAAAAAAGUGUUCUAUGUGCCUUCGGGCGAAUGAAAUAUUCUAUAUAUGUAUAUGCCUUAUAUAUACACCACUACUAAGCACACUAUUUAUGAUAUAUGUUUAUGAAAGGUUUUAUGGCAUGCUAGGGUUUUCGAAAAACCUACUACUUAUUAUAUUAUACGAGUUUUCUAAACAUGGGGGUUAGUACAUUAAAGAUUAACUGAUUUAUUACUAUUUAUAUAUUAACUUGGUUCACUCAUGUUUUGUUUUGCGGCCUCUCAGGACUUAUAAUCGAGGCAUAUGAUUCCGGCGUCAAGACAUUUCCACAUUGGUAUCUUGGAGUCAUCUCGAUGUAGGACCCAUUUCUUUGUCCAUUCAAUUUUAUAUUAUUUUCCUUUCUAGUGUUUCGAAUUAGUUGUAUACUCUGAACACGUUCCUUAAUUGCAUAAACAUUGUAUUAAA